GAUGAACGCUGGCGGCGUGCCUAAUACAUGCAAGUCGAGCGAACAGAUAAGGAGCUUGCUCCUUUGACGUUAGCGGCGGACGGGUGAGUAACACGUGGGUAACCUACCUAUAAGACUGGAAUAACUCCGGGAAACCGGGGCUAAUGCCGGAUAACAUGUUGAACCGCAUGGUUCUACAGUGAAAGGCGGCUUUGCUGUCACUUAUAGAUGGACCCGCGCCGUAUUAGCUAGUUGGUGAGGUAACGGCUCACCAAGGCAACGAUACGUAGCCGACCUGAGAGGGGGAUAGGCCACAUUGGAACUGAGCCAGGGUCAAGAGUCCUACGGGAGGCAGCAGUAGGGAAUCUUCCGCAAUGGGCGAAAGCCUGACGGAGCAACGCCGCGUGAGUGAUGAAGGUCUUCGGAUCGUAAAACUCUGUUAUUAGGGAAGAACAAAUGCGUAAGUAACUGUGCGCGUCUUGACGGUAACUAAUCAGAAAGCCACGGCUAACUACGUG
rnacentral:rRNA from 1 species